CCUACGGGGGGCAGCAGUGGGGAAUAUUGGACAAUGGGGGCAACCCUGAUCAAGCCAUGCCGGGGGGGUGAAGAAGGCCCUCGGGUUGUAAAGCACUUUCAGUGAGGAAGAACGCCUGUUGGUUAAUACCCAUCAGGAAAGACUUCACUCAAAAAAGAAGCACCGGCUAACUCCGUGCCAGCAGCCGCGGUAAUACGGAGGGUGCGAGCGUUAAUCGGAAUUACUGGGCGUAAAGCGCGCGUAGGUGGCUUGAUAAGCCGGUUGUGAAAGCCCCGGGCUCAACCUGGGAACGGCAUCCGGAACUGUCAAGCUAGAGUGCAGGAGAGGAAGGUAGAAUUCCCGGUGUAGCGGUGAAAUGCGUAGAGAUCGGGAGGAAUACCAGUGGCGAAGGCGGCCUUCUGGACUGACACUGACACUGAGGUGCGAAAGCGUGGGUAGCAAACAGGAUUAGAUACCCCGGUAGUC
rnacentral:rRNA from 1 species